UCUUCUAAAUGCAAAUCUGAUUGUGUUACUCCAUGCCGAAAAUCAAUAGAUUCUUUGCAAAUCCAAAUUCCUUCUAGGAAACAUUCCGAAUUCUCUAGCAGGAAGUACAAAGGCCUUCCAGAAAUUUUCUCCAACUUUACUGACACUCUCUAUUUUUUUUGCUAAUGAACUACUUAAAACUCCAUCUUUUGCAUUUACCUCCUCUGCCUGCUUCAAACACACUCCCUUACAUUCUCUUAGCUCUCCUGGUGGAUUCUUUACCAACUGAGCUAUCAGGGAGUCCCAACUAAGCCUGUGGACCGCAACUCCUGAGCCUGUGCUCCAGAGCCGGGAACUGCAGCUGCUGAGCCCACACGCUGCAGCCACUGAAACCUGUGCACCUGGAGUCUGUGCUAGGCAGCAAGAGCAGCCACCGCAGUGAGAAGCCUGCACACCACGACUAGAGCGCACCUCAACGGGCCACAGCUAGAGAAAGCCCGAGCACAGCGACGAAGACCAAGUAAAGCCACAAACAAAUAAAAGACUUCUCUGGCCCUGUGUCCCAACACCUUGAUGGCAACCUCACAACAGACAAUGAGCCUCAUCUGGCUAAGCUGCUCCUGAAUUCCUGACCGACAGAAAUGAGGAAAUAAAAAGCAUUUACUGCUGUAAGCCAGCAAGGUUGUUUCGGGAUAAUUUGUGACAGAGCAAUAGAAAACCAACUGAAACAGUUUACUUGCAGAGGUCGACAUGAAUGAAAUUCUAGACCCAAGUUUCAAGUGCAGGGGCUUGGUCUUCCUAACUCAGUCCUCAGGGGUCUAAACAAUACCAACCAACCGCCUUUUAUUUCUCCAGUUUCUUUUUGA
ensembl:lncRNA